rnacentral:rRNA from 1 species
UGGGGAAUAUUGCGCAAUGGGGGGAACCCUGACGCAGCCAUGCCGCGUGAAUGGAGAAGGCCUUAGGGUUGUAAAGUUCUUUCGGUAUUGAGGAAGGUUGAUGUGUUAAUAGCACAUCAAAUUGACGUUAAAUACAGAAGAAGCACCGGCUAACUCCGUGCCAGCAGCCGCGGUAAUACGGAGGGUGCGAGCGUUAAUCGGAAUAACUGGGCGUAAAGGGCACGCAGGCGGUUAUUUAAGUGAGGUGUGAAAGCCCCGGGCUUAACCUGGGAAUUGCAUUUCAGACUGGGUAACUAGAGUACUUUAGGGAGGGGUAGAAUUCCACGUGUAGCGGUGAAAUGCGUAGAGAUGUGGAGGAAUACCGAAGGCGAAGGCAGCCCCUUGGGAAUGUACUGACGCUCAUGUGCGAAAGCGUGGGGAGCAAACAGGAUUAGAUACCCUGGUAGUCCACGCUGUAAACGCUGUCGAUUUGGGGGUUGGGGUUUAACUCUGGCGCCCGUAGCUAACGUGAUAAAUCGACCGCCUGGGGAGUACGGCCGCAAGGUUA